rnacentral:rRNA from 1 species
AACGAACGCUGGCGGCAGGCCUAACACAUGCAAGUCGAACGAUAAGCCACCUUCGGGUGGUGGGCAGUGGCAGACGGGUGAGUAACGCGUGGGAACGUGCCUUUCGGUUCGGGAUAACCCAGGGAAACUUGGGCUAAUACCGGAUACGCCCUUCGGGAGAAAGAUUCAUUGCCGAAAGAUCGGCCCGCGUCGGAUUGGCUAGUUGGUGGGGUAAUGGCCUACCAAGGGAACGAUCCGUAGCGGGUCUGAGAGGAGGACCAGCCAACCUGGGACUGAAACACGGCCCAGACUCCUACGGGAGGCAGCAGUGGGGAAUAUUGGACAAUGGGCGAAAGCCUGAUCCAGCCAUGCCGCGUGGGUGAAGAAGGCCUUAGGGUUGUAAACCCCUUUCAGCGGGGACGAUAAUGACGGUACCCGCAGAAGAAGUCCCGGCUAACUCCGUGCCAGCAGCCGCGGUAA